rnacentral:rRNA from 1 species
GAUGAACGCUGGCGGCGUGCCUAAUACAUGCAAGUCGAGCGAACGGACGAGAAGCUUGCUUCUCUGAUGUUAGCGGCGGACGGGUGAGUAACACGUGGAUAACCUACCUAUAAGACUGGGAUAACUUCGGGAAACCGGAGCUAAUACCGGAUAAUAUUUUGAACCGCAUGGUUCAAAAGUGAAAGACGGUCUUGCUGUCACUUAUAGAUGGAUCCGCGCUGCAUUAGCUAGUUGGUAAGGUAACGGCUUACCAAGGCAACGAUGCAUAGCCGACCUGAGAGGGUGAUCGGCCACGCUGGAACUGAGACACGCUCCAGACUCCUACGGGAGGCAGCAGUAGGGAAUCUUCCGCAAUGGGCGAAAGCCUGACGGAGCAACGCCGCUUGAGUGAUGAAGGUCUUCGGAUCGUAAAACUCUGUUAUUAGGGAAGAACAUAUGUGUAAGUAACUGUGCACAUCUUGACGGUACCUAAUCAGAAAGCCACGGCUAACUACGUG